UGCCUCAAGCUUAUCUCUUUAUCUUGGAAAAUCUGAGCUAUCGUUUCUCCCUUCAAAUAUCCAGGUAUUACAAAGAAUUGUCUUGCUAUUGCAAUUACUUUUUACAUACAUAACCUUUGUUUUAUUUCGGCGUAUUCCGGAAAAGUGGGAAGCGAAUGCUGGCGUUGAUGUGUAACUGAAGGUGCGUGUAAGGAAUCCGUCAGUGUUGAUAGCAUAAUGGUUGUUAGACGUGAGCCUUCAAGAAAUGACUAUAGGAUUCUCAUAGCAGCUGGCUUGGCCAAAGCUUCUUGAUCAUCCAUUUGUUGCAGGUUCUCUUGAUAUUUGAGGCUGGGAUACUUAUCUUCUCUUUAUGAGUUCUAAGCGGGGUACCAUUUGAUUCAACAACAAAUGGUGGAGAUUUUAAAGAGGAACUGUAUCAAAAGGUGAUAUUUAAUUUCUUUCCUUUGAUUUAAAAUGGAGGAUGUUGUGAUAAAGCAAGAUAAGCUGAAGAAAGACGAUUACAUGAUGGAAAAUCAAUUUUGGUAUGGACCAGAAAACGUUAACAGUUGGUGAUUAGCUUGCAACAUUGCUGAUGAAAAAGAUAGUGAUAGACUGGUAGUGCUGAGAUUAUUUUCUACGUGUAUCAUUUCAGUCCUUACAAAUCCCAAUUUGAGUUAGAAAGUAGUGGCGAGGUGAUGUUUGUUUUUAAUUUUGAAUUGCAGUCUGAUUACUUAUAUAGAUUUGUACACUUUGUGAUAAUGUAUAUUAAUUUUCCGACCCGCGAAGUUCGCG
rnacentral:lncRNA from 1 species